UACGAAGGUGGCAAGCGUUGUUCGGAUUCACUGGGCGUACAGGGUGUGUAGGCGGUUUGGUAAGCCUUUUGUGAAAGCUUCGGGCCUAACCCGGAAAGCGCAGAGGGGACUGCCAGGCUAGAGGACGGGAGAGGAGCGCGGAAUUCCCGGUGUAGCGGUGAAAUGCGUAGAGAUCGGGAGGAAGGCCGGUGGCGAAGGCGGCGCUCUGGACCGAUAUUGACGCUGAGGAGCGAAAGCCAGGGGAGCAAACGGG
rnacentral:rRNA from 1 species